GUUACGGACUACUGGCUCUUUGACUGCUUUGGACUGAAGGCUGGGAUUUCUUGGUCAUCGGAUUUGACGGCAUCCAUCUGCGUAACCAUCUGCUCAGACUAGAGCCGACUUUUUGGUCAGAACCAUGUGACCACAAAAACUUCAGAUGUGUAAUGUGUGCAACUUGCACUGCCUGGCUCGCUCUGCCUUGCUUUGGCUGCUGCAAUCAGUUACAUCAGCUAGCAACUGAAUCUGCCUGCCUGCAAUCCAUUUCCUCCGUGAAUCUGCCUGUCUCCAAUUGGCUGAGUGUUGUGGUUCGCCAGCAGCCUGCGGAGCUGGCAAUGGAGUUGGACAGCGAUGAGGCUGAGGAAGAACAUGGGCCAGCCCUGGAGUCUGGGGAAGGUGUCGGAGGCAGAGGUGGGGCCAUCUGGGAGUGAGGUGCAGACUCCGGAGCCUCCAGAGACUGAUAGUAGUGAGGCAGAGGAACAGGAGGAGUCUGUUCCUAAUGCACGCAUGAGAAGAGCUGCCAGAAGGCAAGAGCAGCUAAA